AAGCAGGGGCCCCGCAUGGGGAUAUUUGCUAAAGAUUCAUCGCUGAUAGAUAGGCAUGCGUUCCAUUAGGCAGUUGGCGGGGUAACGGCCCACCAAACCGACGAUGGAUAGGGGUUCUGAGAGGAAGGUCCCCCACAUUGGUACUGAGACACGGACCAAACUCCUACGGGAGGCAGCAGUGAGGAAUAUUGGUCAAUGGGCGUAAGCCUGAACCAGCCAAGUCGCGUGAGGGAUGAAGGUUCUAUGGAUCGUAAACCUCUUUUAUAAGGGAAUAAAGUGCGGGACGUGUCCCGUUUUGUAUGUACCUUAUGAAUAAGGAUCGGCUAACUCCGUGCCAGCAGCCGCGGUAAUACGGAGGAUCCGAGCGUUAUCCGGAUUUAUUGGGUUUAAAGGGUGCGUAGGCGGCCUUUUAAGUCAGCGGUGAAAGUCUGUGGCUCAACCAUAGAAUUGCCGUUGAAACUGGGGGGCUUGAGUAUGUUUGAGGCAGGCGGAAUGCGUGGUGUAGCGGUGAAAUGCUUAGAUAUCACGCAGAACCCCGAUUGCGAAGGCAGCCUGCCAAGCCAUGACUGACGCUGAUGCACGAAAGCGUGGGGAUCAAACAGGAUUAGAUACCCUGGUAGUCCA
rnacentral:rRNA from 1 species